rnacentral:rRNA from 1 species
UAGUCCACGCCGUAAACGAUGUCAACUAGCCGUUGGGAGCAUUUAAGCUCUGAGUGGCGCAGCUAACGCGAUAAGUUGACCGCCUGGGGAGUACGCCGGCAACGGUAAAACUCAAAUGAAUUGACGGGGGCCCGCACAAGCGGUGGAGCAUGUGGUUUAAUUCGAUGCAACGCGAAGAACCUUACCUACUCUUGACAUACUGAGAACUUUCCAGAGAUGGAUUGGUGCCUUCGGGAGCUCAGAUACAGGUGCUGCAUGGCUGUCGUCAGCUCGUGUCGUGAGAUGUUGGGUUAAGUCCCGNAACGAGCGCAACCCUUGUCCUUAUUGCCAUCAUUAAGUUGGGCACUCUAAGGAGACUGGCCGGUGACAAACCGGGAGGAAGGUGGGGACGACGUCAAGUCAUCAUGGGCCCUUA